GAUGCAGGCGCUCGUGUCGCCCGUGACGAAGGCGCUGCUGGUCGCGCUGUUCAUCCUCGCGAUCCUGCUGAUCCUCUACGUCAUCCUGUGGUACAUCUGCCGCGACGCCGACUGCGACCGCGGGCUGUGACGUCAGCGGCGCGACACCGCGACCCCCGGGCGACCCCCGACCCCGGGCGACCCCGAAAACCGCGCGAAAACCGCGCGAUCGCCGCGGAAACGCGACCCAGGUCUGACCUGAGAUGGAGGCGCCGCCCCCGGGACGCGACUGACGGACCCGCGCCGGAGCCCCGCCCACCGCGAUGACGUCACACGCCGUCGCCGCAGGAGGAUGACGCCGGCCCCGCCCAGCCCGCGAUGACGUCGCCCGCCCCGCCCACCGCCCAUGACGUCACCCGCGACGCCGACGCCGCCCGCAGCAUGACGUCAUCAGCGACAUCGCCCGCAACGCCGCCGUCUCCGCCCCCCCUGACCCCGGGAUGACGUCACCGCGCCCCGACCCCCGGGUGACGUCAUCGCGCCCCGCCCACAGCUCGGACCGGAAAUAAAGUAUUUUUUCUUUUUUUCUUUUUUUUUUUUUUUGUUGGAAACUGGGCGUCAGGGGUCAGGGGUCAGGCGUCAUCCCCCUGCCUCACACCACCGUGCGCCUCCCGUCACUCGUGGCCAUCCCCCUGCCGUAGCUCUUCCGUUUUUUGUAAUUUUUUUUUUUAAAUCAUUUAUUUUAUUCAUUUAUAUUUUUGUACGUUUUCACUCGUGGUCAUCCCCCUGCCGUAGCUCUUCCGUUUUUUGUAAUUUUUUUUAAAAAUCAUUUAUUUUAUUCAUUUAUAUUUUUGUGUGUUUUCACUCGUGGUCAUCCCCCUGCCGUAGCUCUUCCGUUUUUUGUAAUUUUUUUUAAAUGAUUUAUUUUAUUUAUAUUUUUGUGUGUUUGUUUUCACUCGUGGCCAUCCCCCUGCCGUAGCUCUUCCGUUUUUUGUAAUUUUUUUAAAAAAUCAUUUAUUUUAUUCAUUUAUAUUUUUGUACGUUUUCACUCGUGGUCAUCCCCCUGCCGUAGCUCUUCCGUUUUUUUUAAAUUUUUUUUUAAAAUCAUUUAUUUUAUUCAUUUAUAUUUUUGUGUGUUUUCACUCGCGGUCAUCCCCCUGCCGUCGUUGUCUCCAUUUUUUUCUUUUAAUCAUUGUUGUUUCAGUGUGAAACAGUCACAGUCAUCCCCCUGCUGCAGCUCUGGACAAUUGUUUAUUUAUUGUAUUUAAUUCGGUUUGCACUCGCGGUCAUCCCCCUGCCUCAGCGCUUUCCAUGUUUUUUUUAUAAAGACGUUAUUUUUUUAAAUACGUUUUCACUCGUGUUCAUUCCCCUGCCGCAGCUCCUCACGUCUUGAUUGACUCGUUUAAUUUAAUUUUCACUCGUUGUCAUCCCCCUGUCCCAGGUCUUGUCAUAUUUAUUCAUUAUAUUUUAUUUGCUGUUCAAUCAGUGUCAUCCCCCUGCCUCAGCUGUUUCCAUUAUGUUUAUAAAGAUCGUUAUUUUAUAAAAUAUAUUUUUACUUGCGGUUAGUCUCCUGCCUCAGCUCUGUCCAUUUUGAUUUACGUCAUUUAAUUUAGACUCGCAGUCAUCCCCCUUCCUCAGUUCUUUCAAGUAUCAUUUUUUUCACUCGUCGUCAUCCCCCUGCCGUAGGUCUUGUCAUAUUUAUUGAUUAUAUUUGAUUCAGUUUUCACUCGCAGUCAUCCCCCUGCCUCAGUGCUUUCCAUUCCCAUUUUUUUUUUAAAUAAAGACGUUGUUUUUUUUAAUACGUUUUCACUCGUUGUCAUCCCCCUGCCGCAGCUCUUGUCAUAUUUAUUUAUUAUAUUUUAUUUGCUGUUCAAUCACUGUCAUCCCCCUGCCUCAGCUGUUUCCAUUAUGUUUAUAAAGAUCGUUAUUUUAUAAAAUAUAUUUUUACUUGUGUUCAGUC